rnacentral:lncRNA from 1 species
UCAUGUGAACUUAAAUACAAAAUUAAAUGCUUAAUCUUUUGAUCUUACCACUCAUAAAUAAAUAAAUAAAUCAUGUAACACAACUUUAUCUUGUUUAAUGUGCCUAAGGAUGGAGAAAAAUAAAUAAAGAAAUAGAUUUGGUUCUGUUGGAGUUUUUCUACUAGCAGAGCUCAUGCACUUGAUCUCUAACUUAGUUUUGCAAACAGGACAACACAUCAAGCAAAGUUUAUUCAUUCUACAAGUGAAAGUUCUGUGAGCGUGCACACUAAGCAAGAUGCUACCAGCUACUAUUAAAACUCUUCUUCAACCUCCUGACCAAAUCAAAGAACAAAACUGAUAUUACCAUCACUAGAGGUAUGCAACCAUCAAGACCUCCAUCUCUCAAGAUGGAGAGAUACACAAGAGUGGAAGAAGGCAUGUGUGGUAUCACCACGGAACGGGGAGUUGACUGAGGUUACCUCAGACGAUAAACCCACUGAGUAAGUGUUCUCCUCUAUCUAAGUCCUGUCGGUAGACUUUAAAUUCCGUACCUUAGCCAUAAGGUUAGAAUGGUAGUUAUCUCAUUAAAUGCAUUUCCAAUUUAUUUAGUAGCAUAAUUUUGUUUACACACUAAAAGAUAUAAAAACAACAAAAAAAUCAUUUACUCCAUUACUCAUGGCAUCACAAGCCCUAUGUAGAUACCCUAUGGUAUUUUCUGAAGGAACAUCCGCUGUGGUGGCAUAAAAAAUGACAAAAAUAUAGCAUUUAAAUUCCUCCAUCACAAAUAGAAAAUUCAAAAAUAAGAUAAAAUUAAAAUCUUGUUCAAAUUAGACAACAUUAAGCUAGCUCUUAAAGAUGAUCAAUUACUCUUUCGCUGACCGCUAACCUAUUAUUAAAUUCGAGCCUUGAGUUUUGGUUUCCUUUUGGAGUGUAAUUAUGCAGAAACAAUAUUAUGAUAAGGAGAGAGUCUAUUAGUGACACCUACCAGGAGCGUUGUUUGUUAGCUCACUCUGAAGAUCAUCAACACCAACUAUUGCAAACAUCUAGCUUGGGGGAGGAGCAUCCCCUAGUUAUCAGGUAACUAUACCUAGGCGAUUAUCGAGUCUAUUUUAUAUAGUCAUAAAAUACCAAAAAUAUGUGAGCACAUAAAGAUUCACAAUAGUAUCAUAAGAAAAUAUAAAAAUACCAAAAAUAUGUGGGCACAUGAAGGUACAAUAGAAAUAAAUAAAAACCAAACAAAAUACUUAUCAAUAUAUUAAGGUGUGAUCAUAGAUUGUGUCUACAGUCAGUCUAGUUUAGAGUCAAAUAAAAAUUAGAGAAUAUUAAAAUUUUGUCUUGGAGAUGAUGAAUAGUUGCUCUACAGUAAUUUCUUUCAAGUGCCUAGUUUUCAACUAUAAAUUCUUCUAAGUAUUAGACAUGACCACUUUGAGAAUUUACUCUGAACCUAAAAUUUGUGGAGGCAUAUGUUUAAGCUGAGUCUAGGUAAUUGAUAUUAUACAUGAAGGUCUAAGCUGCUAUUUAUCUUAUUCCUAGCAUUACUAAGUUCUGGAGAUUUAUUUUCAAAAACCCAAAAUCUUACAUGAUGAGCUCUUGUAUGAUAAAGUUUAAAUUUCGACCAAAGCCAUAUAUGAUACAUUUAGAGUUAGGAAAACCUUUGCGCAUUCAUGCUACUUGCUUUACAUUGAGUUCAGUCAAUCUUUAGAGUAUACCUUAUGAGAUUCUUGUCGUGCCUUUUAAAUCAAGAUCACUUACACACUCCACCCACAUAUGCAUUACUCCUACUCUGGGAUGUAAGCACAGUCAUUUUCACUUUCAUCCACAUCCAUCUUAAAAAAUGUUAUCUCCUACACUAGGAGUAAACACCAAAAAUAUACCCUAUAGGACAACCCCCAUUUAAUUGCUCUAAGUUCUUAUCAUUAUCUCUCCAAUUAUUUAUAUUCAAAGGAUGCAUGUGGAUAUGCAAGAGUAUUUAAUAAGAAAAAAAAAGAAAAAAAGGGAGUAAAAUAUGGACAAGUGUCCCAGCAAUUAAAACAAUGGGUACAUCAAUGCCCGCCUCCCAUAGUAAUGAAAAAAAAGAGAAAGAAUAAAGAUAGCCCAUGUUUUCCUGCGAAAAGUUCUAAGGAGGGAGUAAUUUUUAAAGAGCAAAAGUAGAAUUAGGAUUAUCCACUAAAUACUAUAUAUACACCUAUCCACCAUAUUCCAUACACACGCAUAUCUUGAUUCGAUUGUAUGCCUUGAUUCUCUGUAGAUCCAUUGUUUGACUUUACAAUAUAUGAAAUGCAAGUAUGCUCAUCCUUGUUAUUGCCACUCCUAUAAGCUCCACUAUAUAUAUCCUUAGUUGUAGGAAGGCGUAACCUCAUUAAUGCCUCACCGAAAUCCAUAAAUACUACAUAAUAACAGACUUGAGGGUGUCAUACAAUCAUGCUCCGAGCUUCAUUUCAAAAAACUUGCAAAACUUCGGAAUAUUGGUAUUAUGAAGAAUUUGAGACAUAGUGCUUGACUUGAUUGUUCUAUCUCUCAAUUACUCAUGACUUAUGCAAAUGCUAUAAAGCUUCAUGGUUAAAGGUAAAAUGGGUAAGUUUGAAAGAUAGACCAG